rnacentral:rRNA from 1 species
GUGAACGCUGGCGGUAGGCCUAACACAUGCAAGUCGAACGGCAGCACAGUAAGAGCUUGCUCUUACGGGUGGCGAGUGGCGGACGGGUGAGGAAUACAUCGGAAUCUACUUUUUCGUGGGGGAUAACGUAGGGAAACUUACGCUAAUACCGCAUACGACCUACGGGUGAAAGCAGGGGAUCUUCGGACCUUGCGCGAUUGAAUGAGCCGAUGUCGGAUUAGCUAGUUGGCGGGGUAAAGGCCCACCAAGGCGACGAUCCGUAGCUGGUCUCAGAGGAUGAUCAGCCACACUGGAACUGAGACACGGUCCAGACUCCUACGGGAGGCAGCAGUGGGGAAUAUUGGACAAUGGGCGCAAGCCUGAUCCAGCCAUACCGCGUGGGUGAAGAAGGCCUUCGGGUUGUAAAGCCCUUUUGUUGGGAAAGAAAAGCAGCAGGUUAAUACCCCGCUGUUCUGACGGUACCCAAAGAAUAAGCACCGGCUAACUUCGUG